rnacentral:rRNA from 1 species
GACGAACGCUGGCGGCGUGCUUAACACAUGCAAGUCGAACGGAAAGGCCCUGCUUUUGUGGGGUGCUCGAGUGGCGAACGGGUGAGUAACACGUGAGUAACCUGCCCUUGACUUUGGGAUAACUUCAGGAAACUGGGGCUAAUACCGGAUAGGAGCUCCUGCGGCAUGGUGGGGGUUGGAAAGUUUCGGCGGUUGGGGAUGUACUCGCGGCUUAUCAGCUUGUUGGUGGGGUAGUGGCUUACCAAGGCUUUGACGGGUAGCCGGCCUGAGAGGGUGACCGGCCACAUUGGGACUGAGAUACGGCCCAGACUCCUACGGGAGGCAGCAGUGGGGAAUAUUGCACAAUGGGCGGAAGCCUGAUGCAGCAACGCCGCGUGCGGGAUGACGGCCUUCGGGUUGUAAACCGCUUUCGCCUGUGACGAAGCGUGAGUGACGGUAAUGGGUAAAGAAGCACCGGCUAACUACGUG